UUGGAGAAUAUAUAUAUAUAUUUUAAUUGGGGUAGCCCCCAAAAUAUUGGGACAUAAAAAAUGACAACUCUGUUCCGCAGAGUAGCUGUUGACAUUAUAGUUGCGCAGGAACUUUGUUGACUCUAGAGAACCUCGGGCAAAUCGCACAUCCCCGUGGCAGCGACUUUGCAUGCGGAUGUCAUCCAUAUCAACUUUCGAUUUCAGUUUCUGCGCCUACCAUUGUGACCACGGGUAACAGGGAAUCAGGCUUCCAUUCCAUACAGGGACCCUGAGAAAUGGCUACCACAUACAAGGAAGGCAACAGGCGCGCAAAUGACCCACUCCCGACGCGGGAAGUUAGUGACGA